rnacentral:rRNA from 1 species
ACGAACGCUGGCGGCGUGCUUAACACAUGCAAGUCGAACGGAAAGGCCCUGCUUUUGUGGGGUGCUCGAGUGGCGAACGGGUGAGUAACACGUGAGUAACCUGCCCUUGACUUUGGGAUAACUUCAGGAAACUGGGGCUAAUACCGGAUAGGAGCUCCUGCUGCAUGGUGGGGGUUGGAAAGUUUCGGCGGUUGGGGAUGGACUCGCGGCUUAUCAGCUUGUUGGUGGGGUAGUGGCUUACCAAGGCUUUGACGGGUAGCCGGCCUGAGAGGGUGACCGGCCACAUUGGGACUGAGAUACGGCCCAGACUCAUACGGGAGGCAGCAGUGGGGAAUAUUGCACAAUGGGCGGAAGCCUGAUGCAGCAACGCCGCGUGCGGGAUGACGGCCUCGGGUUGUAAACCGCUUUCGCCUGUGACGAAGCGUGAGUGACGGUAAUGGGUAAAGAAGCACCGGCUAACUACGUG